CCUACGGGAGGCAGCAGUGGGGAAUAUUGGACAAUGGGGGGAACCCUGAUCCAGCCAUGCCGCGUGUGUGAAGAAGGCCCUCGGGUUGUAAAGCACUUUCAGUGAGGAAGAACGCCUGGUGGUUAAUACCCAUCAGGAAAGACAUCACUCACAGAAGAAGCACCGGCUAACUCCGUGCCAGCAGCCGCGGUAAUACGGAGGGUGCGAGCGUUAAUCGGAAUUACUGGGCGUAAAGCGCGCGUAGGUGGCUUGAUAAGCCGGUUGUGAAAGCCCCGGGCUCAACCUGGGAACGGCAUCCGGAACUGUCAAGCUAGAGUGCAGGAGAGGAAGGUAGAAUUCGCGGUGUAGCGGUGAAAUGCGUAGAGAUCGGGAGGAAUACCAGUGGCGAAGGCGGCCUUCUGGACUGACACUGACACUGAGGUGCGAAAGCGUGGGUAGCAAACAGGAUUAGAUACCCCGGUAGUC
rnacentral:rRNA from 1 species